UGCAGCUCGGGAAAGUCCACCGCGCCUACAGAGGAAUGUGCAGCCUGUGUGUACGCUGGAGACGCUCUGGAACAGGAAUGCGCUCUGGGCGACGCCGCGGCAAGUGUGCGGCAAAGAACCGCAGCUGCGCCGGAAGUGAGCCAGAAGAACCGGUUGGUCCAGGCUUUCAUGGUCCCAGAUAUUGAGAUCACCUGAGAUCUGCGUUGACAUGGCAACGAGAAUACAAGAAUCACCAGGGGCCGCUAUCUGUAGUAUAGCAGGCGAAGACAUGACUCCCCCACUCUGUCUCAGCUUCCCUUGUUCCGCUGCACCCUCCUCCAUUCAGCUGACACCAGACUGCCAUCACAUUCCACCCUCCACCUGCCUGCAGCCCUGAUUUCUCCCAUCAUUCCCCCCACCUUCCUUCCUUCCCUGUCCCUCCAUCCCACAACCCUCAUCCCCAUCAUCCAUUAUAUGUAAUAAA